rnacentral:rRNA from 1 species
AUGCAAGUCGAACGGUGAAGCUCAAGCUUGCUUGGGGUGGAUCAGUGGCGAACGGGUGAGUAACACGUGAGCAACCUGCCCCGGACUCUGGAAUAAGCGCUGGAAACGGCGUCUAAUACUGGAUAUGACAUCAAGCCGCAUGGUUAUGGUGUGGAAAGUUUUUCGGUCUGGGAUGGGCUCGCGGCCUAUCAGUUUGUUGGUGAGGUAAUGGCUCACCAAGGCGACGACGGGUAGCCGGCCUGAGAGGGCGACCGGCCACACUGGGACUGAGACACGGCCCAGACUCCUACGGGAGGCAGCAGUGGGGAAUAUUGCACAAUGGGCGCAAGCCUGAUGCAGCGACGCCGCGUGAGGGAUGACGGCCUUCGGGUUGUAAACCUCUUUCAGCAGGGAAGAAGCGAUAGUGACGGUACCUGCAGAAGAAGCACCGGCUAACUACGUGCCAGCAGCCGCGGUAAUACGUAGGGUGCGAGCGUUGUCCGGAAUUAUUGGGCGUAAAGAGCUUGUAGGCGGUUUGUCGCGUCUGCUGUGAAAAUCCGGGGCUCAACCCCGGACUUGCAGUGGGUACGGGCAGACUAGAGUGUGGUAGGGGAGACUGGAAUUCCUGGUGUAGCGGUGAAAUGCGCAGAUAUCAGGAGGAACACCGAUGGCGAAGGCAGGUCUCUGGGCCACUACUGACGCUGAGAAGCGAAAGCAUGGGGAGCGAACAGGAUUAGAUACCCUGGUAGUCCAUGCCGUAAACGUUGGGCGCUAGGUGUGGGACUCAUUCCACGAGUUCCGUGCCGCAGCUAACGCAUUAAGCGCCCCGCCUGGGGAGUACGGCCGCAGGCUA